rnacentral:rRNA from 4 species
AGAGUUUGAUCAUGGCUCAGAUUGAACGCUGGCGGCAGGCCUAACACAUGCAAGUCGAGCGGUAGCACAGAGAGCUUGCUCUCGGGUGACGAGCGGCGGACGGGUGAGUAAUGUCUGGGAAACUGCCUGAUGGAGGGGGAUAACUACUGGAAACGGUAGCUAAUACCGCAUAACGUCGCAAGACCAAAGUGGGGGACCUUCGGGCCUCAUGCCAUCAGAUGUGCCCAGAUGGGAUUAGCUAGUAGGUGGGGUAACGGCUCACCUAGGCGACGAUCCCUAGCUGGUCUGAGAGGAUGACCAGCCACACUGGAACUGAGACACGGUCCAGACUCCUACGGGAGGCAGCAGUGGGGAAUAUUGCACAAUGGGCGCAAGCCUGAUGCAGCCAUGCCGCGUGUAUGAAGAAGGCCUUCGGGUUGUAAAGUACUUUCAGCGGGGAGGAAGGCGAUAAGGUUAAUAACCUUGUCGAUUGACGUUACCCGCAGAAGAAGCACCGGCUAACUCCGUGCCAGCAGCCGCGGUAAUACGGAGGGUGCAAGCGUUAAUCGGAAUUACUGGGCGUAAAGCGCACGCAGGCGGUCUGUCAAGUCGGAUGUGAAAUCCCCGGGCUCAACCUGGGAACUGCAUUCGAAACUGGCAGGCUAGAGUCUUGUAGAGGGGGGUAGAAUUCCAGGUGUAGCGGUGAAAUGCGUAGAGAUCUGGAGGAAUACCGGUGGCGAAGGCGGCCCCCUGGACAAAGACUGACGCUCAGGUGCGAAAGCGUGGGGAGCAAACAGGAUUAGAUACCCUGGUAGUCCACGCCGUAAACGAUGUCGAUUUGGAGGUUGUGCCCUUGAGGCGUGGCUUCCGGAGCUAACGCGUUAAAUCGACCGCCUGGGGAGUACGGCCGCAAGGUUAAAACUCAAAUGAAUUGACGGGGGCCCGCACAAGCGGUGGAGCAUGUGGUUUAAUUCGAUGCAACGCGAAGAACCUUACCUGGUCUUGACAUCCACAGAACUUAGCAGAGAUGCUUUGGUGCCUUCGGGAACUGUGAGACAGGUGCUGCAUGGCUGUCGUCAGCUCGUGUUGUGAAAUGUUGGGUUAAGUCCCGCAACGAGCGCAACCCUUAUCCUUUGUUGCCAGCGGUCCGGCCGGGAACUCAAAGGAGACUGCCAGUGAUAAACUGGAGGAAGGUGGGGAUGACGUCAAGUCAUCAUGGCCCUUACGACCAGGGCUACACACGUGCUACAAUGGCAUAUACAAAGAGAAGCGACCUCGCGAGAGCAAGCGGACCUCAUAAAGUAUGUCGUAGUCCGGAUUGGAGUCUGCAACUCGACUCCAUGAAGUCGGAAUCGCUAGUAAUCGUAGAUCAGAAUGCUACGGUGAAUACGUUCCCGGGCCUUGUACACACCGCCCGUCACACCAUGGGAGUGGGUUGCAAAAGAAGUAGGUAGCUUAACCUUCGGGAGGGCGCUUACCACUUUGUGAUUCAUGACUGGGGUGAAGUCGUAACAAGGUAACCGUAGGGGAACCUGCGGUUGGAUCACCU